GGAUAGCUGGAGCCCAUUACGAGUUCUAUCAGGUAAAGCCAAUGAUUAGAGGCAUUGGGGACGCAACGUCCUCGACCUAUUCUCAAACUUUAAAUAGGUAGGAUGGCUCGGCUGCUUCGGUGAGCCGUGCCACGGAAUCGGGUGCUCCAAGUGGGCCAUUUUUGGUAAGCAGAACUGGCGAUGCGGGAUGAACCGGAAGCCGGGUUACGGUGGCCCACUGCGCGCUAACCUAGAACC
rfam:Hordeum vulgare subsp. vulgare, WGS project CAJW01000000 data, contig: morex_contig_594334